rnacentral:rRNA from 1 species
GGGAAUAUUGCACAAUGGGCGGAAGCCUGAUGCAGCGACGCCGCGUGGGGGAUGACGGCCUUCGGGUUGUAAACCUCUUUCAGCACCGACGACGCGAGAGUGACGGUAGGUGCAGAAGAAGCGCCGGCCGACUACGUGCCAGCAGCCGCGGUAAGACGUAGGGCGCGAGCGUUGUCCGGAUUUAUUGGGCGUAAAGAGCUCGUAGGCGGCUUGUUGCGUCGUCCGUGAAAACCCGUGGCUCAACUGCGGGCUUGCGGUCGAUACGGGCAGGCUGGAGUUCGGUAGGGGAGACUGGAAUUCCUGGUGUAGCGGUGAAAUGCGCAGAUAUCAGGAGGAACACCGGUGGCGAAAGCGGCGCACUGGACCACAACUGACGCUGAGGCGCGAAAGCUAGGGGAGCAAAC